rnacentral:rRNA from 1 species
GGAGCUGGGCGGAACUACAGGAUUUUCCUAGUACGGCGAGUGAACGGAAAUUAGCCCAGCACCGAAGCCUAUCCAUGAUUGUGGAUGGGGCAAUGUGGUGUUAAAGUUUCAACCUGGACGCGCCAGUCUACUCGAAGUCCAACUCCGAUUACGGCUUUGGAUUUGUGCCAUAGUGGGUGAAAGACCCGUUCGUGUAGACGUUACUGUUUUUGGCGUGUCUUAGAUGUUGAUACUUUAGAGUCGGAUUGCUUGAGAAUGCAGUCCAAAGUGGGUGGUAAACUCCAUCCAAGGCUAAAUACUGGCACGAGUCCGAUAGUAAACAAGUACCGUGAGGGAAAGUUGAAAAGUACUCUGAAGAGAGAGUAAAUAGUACGUGAAGCUGCCUGCAUGGAAGCUGGUGGAGUCAAGCUUCUUAGGAUUGGAAUUGGUGCGGAGAAUCAUAUUGUUUAUGGGCUGCGAGUGUAUCAGCUUGAAAAUGGCUGGGCAGGUUUUCCUGUUACAGGCGUUCCGGGUUGUACGCUUAUAGUACAUUCUAAUUUAGCCCAUUCUCUUGUACUGUUUCUUUUCCUUAACACCACAGUCGAUGUGCAUAUAUUUUUGAUAAUCUAACCAUGGCCUCUGUGAGUUUCGGUUCGCUGGCUAUGGGAUGGCAGGUAUAAAUAUGUUGACUUCGGUUUUCAUAUUUCUUAUUUUGGUAUUAAAGCUUUGCCGAUUAUCUUUUGCAUUAUAUAAUUAAUUAUGCGCAUUGUUCUUAUAUCUAUAGUAGCUGAAAGGUUGCUUUGAUGAGAGCUGUGGUGCCGAGGUAGAUUUUCCACCCGACCCGUCUUGAACCCCCGGACCAAA